AGAUGAUGACAGUCACGUUUUUUCCCCCGUCUCAGCAGGUGCGGACGCCACCCGAUGAAGCAUGUAUCAUUGAGGGGACUCCGAAGUUCUAUUUGGAUAAAGGGAUUAUGUUUUGGUAAAAACCUGAAAAAUAUCAUGGCAACCAGCAAGUUUCAAAGAUGAGACGUUAACAACGACGACAUCUAGAGCCUAACGCGUGAAUAUGAAACCCACAGACAGAUCAGAUUUGGCACAUCUCCCUCCGAUGUCUGCGACCUGAAUCCCUCUGCCUGCAAAUGUGAACCAUGUGUGCACCUCCUGCCCCCUUCAUUGUAAGGUGUACUCAUGAGAAGACGCUACAAUGCCAGCAAUAUUUUGGUCCCUCAAGGGCAGUCCUUGUGGGUGAGGAGAAUCUGCUUCAGCUGACCGACCUCCGACCUCAGUGACGUCACCUCAUUCUGGGGGAAAAGUAAAAUAAAUCUGAAAACCUGUCCACAAAACACAUGUGCUUGUCAGAAAGCGCUGCGUUCCACCUGCAGCUGAAGCGGGUAGCGGCCGCUCGAUUGCGUUCCAGGAACUUUUGUCUGCGCUCGUCGGGGUCCUGCUCGGUCGUCCUCCUCCGCCGGUUGCAGCUUCCGCCUGCCUGCAGCGCAUGCUGGGAGUGCGGCGAUUGACAGGGGUGCAUUUGCUGCGGAACCGGCGAUACCUGUGGAAGCACGGUGAUAUCUCAAUGCUGAAAGAUGAGUUGAAGAAGCCGACCGGUGAUGGAGAGGCAUCACACCUGUGCAGUUGGUACAUACCUGUUUGCUCUCCUCCGCUUCCUGCUCCUGAAGAAACUCCUCCUCGAUCUCCUUGAACAGACCAACUUCUUCACAGUUCUGCAAAAACCGAGUGGGAGUUGGCGUCUGGUCUGGAGGGGGGUCACAUAUACAACACCAC